rnacentral:rRNA from 1 species
UACGGAGGGGGCAAGCGUUAUCCGGAUUCACUGGGGUUAAAGGGUGCGUAGGCGGGCAGGUAAGUCCGUGGUGAAAUCUCUGAGCUUAACUCAGAAACUGCCAUGGAUACUAUUUGUCUUGAAUAUUGUGGAGGUGAGCGGAAUAUGUCAUGUAGCGGUGAAAUGCUUAGAUAUGACAUAGAACACCAAUUGCGAAGGCAGCUCACUACACAGUCAUUGACGCUGAGGCACGAAAGCGUGGGGAUCAAACAGG